rnacentral:rRNA from 1 species
UACGGGGGGGGCAAGCGUUGUUCGGAAUUACUGGGCGUAAAGGGCUCGUAGGUGGCCAACUAAGUCAGACGUGAAAUCCCCUCGGCUUAACCGGGGAACUGCGUCUGAUACUGGAUGGCUUGAGUUUGGGAGAGGGACGCGGAAUUCCAGGUGUAGCGGUGAAAUGCGUAGAUAUCUGGAGGAACACCGGUGGCGAAGGCGGCAUUCUGGACUGCAACUGACACUGAAAGACGAAAGCCAGGGGAGCAAACGGG